AAGCCAAAAACAGCCAGCAGUAAAUAUAAUCGGCCUAUAAUAUUACAAAAAAAGCAGGAUGAAGGGAAAGUUUGGUGGGAAAUGCAUGACUACUGUGAUGACAAGUUCUAUAAAAACAUUCUUUUUAACUUACCUUUAAGUGACUGUGAUGAUGGUAUAGUUUUUUAUAUAUUCAAUGAUAAAUCAUUUCCUUCAACUAUGAGUUUCCUAGAAAAAACUGGGAUAAUUGGACUCUACACAACAUGUGUUUACGUUGUGUCUCGCCUCAUCAGGUCAUUGAUAGCCAAUAACCAUCGUCGAAUAAUGUUUGAGGACUUACCAUACGUAGACCGAAUAUUGAAGCUGUGCAACGACAUCUACUUGGUUCGGGAGACCAAGGAGUAUCGUUUGGAAGAAGAUUUGUAUGGUAAACUUAUAUUUCUCUAUAGAUCACCGGAAACCCUAAUUAAAUGGACGCGGUACAAAGAAGAGUUUAUAGAUGAUAAUUCAGAACGAAGCACCAGAAAAGCCCAGCGAGGCUUAGAUGGAAAUGAUCAAAGUUAAAAGCCAUCUCAAUCGACAAUACCUACAUAGUUACCAUCUUAAUUCCUCAUAAACAGUUAUGCAAUAAAGAAAUAUAUGAAAAGCAUAUUACAGAU